CGGCCCCCCCAGCUGGCAAUUUUUGAGGGGCGCAAAAAUGAAAAGGGGGCGCCGAUCCCGCGCCGAAUUUUGAAAGUAGGUGGGAAGAAACGCAUUCGAAGAAAUAUAGUUACUAAUUCCGCCAAGGAAAGAUGUGUUUAUAGACUUAUUAAAAGACUAAGCGCAUAGGCGACAAAGUGAGUGAGUAUAUUAAAUUGCUACCUCACGACUCACACGAAAUCACUCGUUCAUAUAGAAACAUGAUCAGUGAUCACACGCAAUGUCUCAUUACCGGAAUAUUGAUCAGGCUUCGAAGCGAUCACGGGAAUCAUGCAUAUGUGUGGGGUCCGUGUGUUAUUGUAUAAAAGAGCUGCAAGUUGUAAAUGAAUUCAAAUCAGUAGAGAAUAGAAUUGGGAUUAGAUCAAUUGCUGGAAGUAGUUAGCAUUGCCCAAUUUAAGUGCUACUACUAAAUUCUAACCAAUUUUCAAAUUUCGACACGUUGUAAUGCCGUUUCCUGACCAUCAGAUUUCUGUCAAAUCUUC
rnacentral:lncRNA from 1 species